UCUGGUGGCAAUAGCGAAGAGGUCACACCUGUUCCCAUGCCGAACACAGCAGUUAAGCUCUUCAGCGCCGAUGGUAGUUGGGGCAUUGCCCCUGUGAGAGUAGGACGUCGCCAGAC
rnacentral:rRNA from 1 species